CUUAAAGGAAUUGACGGGGACCCGCACAAGCGGUGGAUGAUGUGGUUUAAUUCGAUGCAACGCGAAAAACCUUACCCACCUUUGACAUGUACGGAAUCCUUUAGAGAUAGAGGAGUGCUCGAAAGAGAACCGUAACACAGGUGCUGCAUGGCUGUCGUCAGCUCGUGUCGUGAGAUGUUGGGUUAAGUCCCGCAACGAGCGCAACCCUUGUCAUUAGUUGCUACAUUUAGUUGGGCACUCUAAUGAGACUGCCGGUGACAAACCGGAGGAAGGUGGGGAUGACGUCAAGUCCUCAUGGCCCUUAUAGGUGGGGCUACACACGUCAUACAAUGGAUGGUACAAAGGGUCGCCAACCCGCGAGGGGGAGCCAAUCCCAUAAAGCCAUUCGUAGUCCGGAUCGCAGUCUGCAACUCGACUGCGUGAAGUCGGAAUCGCUAGUAAUCGUGGAUCAGAAUGUCACGGUGAAUACGUUCCCGGGUCUUGUACACACCGCCCGUCACACCAUGGGAGCGGGUUCUGCCAGAAGUAGUUAGCCUAACCGCAAGGAGGGCGAUUACCACGGCAGGGUUCGUGUACUGGGGUGAAGUCGUAACAAGGUAGCCGUUUGAAAG
rnacentral:rRNA from 1 species